GAUGAACGCUGGCGGCGUGCCUAAUACAUGCAAGUCGAGCGAACAGACGAGGAGCUUGCUCCUCUGACGUUAGCGGCGGACGGGCGAGUAACGCGUGGAUAACCUACCUAUAAGACUGGGAUAACUUCGGGAAACCGGAGCUAAUACCGGAUAAUAUAUUGAACCGCAUGGUUCAAUAGUGAAAGACGGUUUUGCUGUCACUUAUAGAUGGAUCCGCGCCGCAUUAGCUAGUUGGUAAGGUAACGGCUUACCAAGGCAACGAUGCGUAGCCGACCUGAGAGGGUGAUCGGCCACACUGGAACUGAGACACGGUCCAGACUCCUACGGGAGGCAGCAGUAGGGAAUCUUCCGCAAUGGGCGAAAGCCUGACGGAGCAACGCCGCGUGAGUGAUGAAGGUCUUCGGAUCGUAAAACUCUGUUAUUAGGGAAGAACAAAUGUGUAAGUAACUAUGCACGUCUUGACGGUACCUAAUCAGAAAGCCACGGCUAACUACGUG
rnacentral:rRNA from 1 species